CCUACGGGGGGCUGCAGUGAGGAAUAUUGGUCAAUGGUCGCGAGCCUGAACCAGCCAAGUCGCGUGAAGGAUGACUGCCCUACGGGUUGUAAACUUCUUUUGUCAAGGAAUAAAGAGUGGCACGCGUCCCUUUAUGUAUGUACUUUAUGAAUAAGGAUCGGCUAACUCCGUGCCAGCAGCCGCGGUAAUACGGAGGAGCCGAGCGUUAUCCGGAUUUAUUUGGUUUAAAGGGAGCGAGGAUGGUUUGUUAAGUCAGUGGUGAAAGUGUGGGGCUCAACCGGGAAAUGGCAAUGGAUACUGGCGUGUUUGAGUAGAGUGGAGUGAGGGGGAAUUGCGGG
rnacentral:rRNA from 1 species